rfam:Ruminococcus albus 8 contig00011, whole genome shotgun sequence.
UGGGGCGUCGCCAAGCGGUAAGGCAACGGACUCUGACUCCGUCAUGUCGAAGGUUCGAAUCCUUCCGCCCCAA